GAUGAAGAACGUAGCGAAAUGCGAUAAGUAAUGUGAAUUGCAGAAUUCAGUGAAUCAUCGAAUCUUUGAACGCACAUUGCGCCCGCCAGUAUUCUGGCGGGCAUGCCUGUUCGAGCGUCAUUUCAACCAUCAAGCCCCAGGCUUGUGUUGGGGACCUGCGGCUGCCGCAGGCCCUGAAAAUCAGUGGCGGGCUCGCUAGUCACUCCGAGCGUAGUAAUACAUCUCGCUCUGGGCGUGCUGCGGGUUCCGGCCGUUAAACCACCUUCAUAACCCAAGGUUGACCUCGGAUCAGGUAGGAAGACCCGCUGAACUUAAGCAUAUCAAUAAGCGGAGGA
rnacentral:misc_RNA from 1 species